UACGUAGGAGACGAGCGUUGUCCGGAAUCACUGGGCGUAAAGCGCGUGUAGGCGGAUGAGCAGGUCUGCUGUGAAAGCUCCUGGCUUAACCGGGAGAGGUCGGUGGAAACUGCUCGUCUGGAGGACGGUAGAGGCUGGUGGAAUUCCCGGUGUAGUGGUGAAAUGCGUAGAGAUCGGGAGGAACACCUGUGGCGAAGGCGGCCAGCUGGGCCGGACCUGACGCUGAGACGCGAAGGCGUGGGGAGCGAACGGG
rnacentral:rRNA from 1 species